AUGGGUUUCUCUUCUUCCUCGCGGCGCUUAUGCGUAGCUUCGGUGCUACUACUUUGCCUUUGCGUACUAUUGUGCAGAGUGCAGGGAGGAUCAUCUCGCAAGGGACAGUCUUUCUAUUACCACGUACAGAACUCGUCAAGGAGUAGUUUCGCAAGUCUUGCCUUUUAUGGCCCGUGUACCACGGAUGCACUCAAUGGCACGGACGUGAAAGGGAUAAUCCUGCUCUGCUUACCCAUACAGCCAAAUGAUCCCGACGCGAUCGCCCCACGGAACACUUUCGCAGAGGCGAAACAAUAUACCACGGACACACUAACUGCUGAUUGCAAAGGGAUUGCCUGCGUUCUUGUGGACCUUGACACUGGGGUGAAGAUCGGAAAAUACAUGGACGCUACCAGCUCUCCAGUGGCGAAGAUUGAACCCGCACGCACCGUUACGGGGAAAGAGAUACUAGGGGCAAAAGUGGCAGCAUUCUCUUCCAGAGGUCCAUCGCGUGAUUACGCCGACAUUAUCAAGCCUGACAUAGCCGCGCCCGGAGCCAACAUCUUGGCGGCGGUGGGAGAUUCCUAUGUAAUGUAUUCCGGGACAUCGAUGGCGGCCCCACAUGUAGCAGGAAUCGUCGCGCUACUGAAAGCUUUGCACCAAGACUGGUCUCCUGCCGUCAUAAAAUCUGCCAUCAUCACCACAGCCCAUGUAACGGACGAGCGCGACAUGCCCAUACUAGCGGAAGGAGUGCUGCGGAAGAUGGCAGACCCGUUUGACUAUGGCGGCGGCAACAUCAACCCUGACGGCGCGGCUGAUCCCGGCCUGGUCUACGACAUCGAUCCCCGCGACUAUAACAGAUUCUUUGGGUGCACCAUCGUCAGGAGGACGAACGUGAGUUGUGACGCGACGGCGCUACCGGCAUACCACCUGAACCUGCCAUCUAUCGCAGUGCCUGAGCUGAGGCGCCCGAUCACUGUGUGGAGGACAGUGACAAACGUCGGUGAGUUCCAUCAAACAAACCCUUGUGAUUAA
rnacentral:rRNA from 1 species